rnacentral:rRNA from 1 species
CCUACGGGAGGCAGCAGUGGGGAAUUUUGGACAAUGGGGGCAACCCUGAUCCAGCAAUGCCGCGUGUGUGAAGAAGGCCUUCGGGUUGUAAAGCACUUUUGUCCGGAAAGAAAUCGCACUGGUUAAUACCUGGUGUGGAUGACGGUACCGGAAGAAUAAGGACCGGCUAACUACGUGCCAGCAGCCGCGGUAAU